CAAUACUCCAUCCCUUUCUUCAUAAACCUCUCGGCCUCCGCUACUUUCUUCGUUAUUCUAAGCCACACUCCCAUCUCUCUCACCGUGCCCGUCACCAAUGCCACCACAUUUGCUGCGACUGCCGUCUUCGGAAUGCUUUUAGGGGAAGAGACCCGCUUGGCCCACGCCUUGUUUGGGGAAGUAUACCAAUUAGCAGCAGUGGUGUUGGAAGCACACCGACUGAUGCUGGCUUAUCCUUGCCACAGGCAAGCCCUUGGCCUAAAUUGACUGAAUUUUGCAACAAAGGGUGAACAGGUCCAGUUGAUCUUUUCAAGUCCUCCUCUUGUUGCCUAGUUAUCUGCAUUCCAUAGGCUGGAGUAGACCCUCAUCCCCUGCUUAUUGGGGAGGGGAAGAGAAUAAAGUCAUAAACAUCUGUUUGGGGGAAGCCAUUGCCGUUUGGAAAAAAUGUCUUUCGUCUUAUACAACAGGAAUAAAUGAUUAACGGCAAUGUGGUAAGUCUACUUACACUACUUCAGUGGGGUUCCAGUGUAUGCUGUAGUUGUGGAAACCAUCAGUUGGGUCAAACCAAGGGUAGAAUUGCUGUUCCUUGCUUCCAUUUCCUUUUGUGUAGAUGUUUGUGUGGAUGAUGUAAGGUUGUCCUGAAACAUUCCCAAAAAACUCGUAGUCUAUUUCAUCGUGGUUGCUCCCACUAGAGGAUAGCUGCAGACAUUUGAGAAAGGGGAAUUAGCACUUUUUACCACACAUUGGUUUUGUGAAAGACAUGCAUGCUUUAGAGCUACGCAAAGUCUUUGGAUCCAAUAUCUUCUCCUUCCUCCCAUAAGCAAGGAUGGAAGGUGAGGACAUGGAUUCAAUCCAUAUGGGGUGCAUGUGUUGUAUUUAGCCUCCGUUUGGGUACUGUGUUUUGCGUCCACGUCUAGACGCAAAACAUGUUUCACCCUUUUUUUUUUUUUUUUUUGUGCCAUGAUUGUUGACUGGAAAGGUGUGAACAGUGCACACUUCAGCAACUUUUCCAGUACCUUUUAAUCAACUUUUCAGUCACGAGACUCAUAAACUUCACUAUUCAGCAAUUUUUUUAUUAAAAAUGGGUCCUACAAUACUAUUCACAUAUUUAAAAAUUAUUUUGCUAUAGUGUUUUUCAGUUUUCAGUUUUUAGCUGUAUCCAAACAGACCUUUAUUAUAAAAAGAUGUAUAAUAUACAUCUUUUUUGACAAAGACAAAGUAAUGAUUUAAAUGAAUGAACUUACAUAGUAGGCUGUCACUGUUCCAGCAGAGUUCCAGGUACCAACUUAAUGAGCAUUUGAAUGGUUCCAAAUAAGAGUGCUUGCUUUUAUUGAAUUGGAGUGCCUGAAUACCCAAGGCAGCAUGAUUGAUUAAUUAAGCAGAGAGAAAUCAUUAUUAUAUGAGCCUUUGUGUGUUCAUUUCUCAGUUUCUAAUAUGAGAUUCUAUGAUCUGAUCAUAGGUUACAUAACAUAUUUACGUUUUGAUAAUUGCCAAGCUAGAAUGGACUAAUUUGAUUCCUUUAGAUUUUGUAACUAAUGGAGUAAUCUGAUAAUUUGGCAUUACAUGCAAAAUUUUGUGUUUAUGCUCAUGAUAUGCAUUAUGUCUGUAUUUGUUAUAUAUGUAAUUAGAUGCAUCAAGUGCAAUGUACUUUUUUUCGCAACAAAAAAUUAAGCAGAUAAAGCUAACAUUCAAAUGUCAAAUUGCAUAUGAGACGGAUGAUAAGAAGACUAUUUUACCUGCAGUUUUAUCCAAGACGAGUUGAAGAUUAUCACCAUUGCCUAUAACGUUGUAGACUGAUUGUUAGCACCCGAAGCAAAAUACAUGCUCUUAGAAAACUUGGCAUUGACUAAAAUUUGAUUUGGUGCAAUUGCAGAGAUGAAUACAACCAUUAACAAUGCUCGUAACCUUGCCAUUCCAACUCCAAUGAACAAUUAUCAACUGCUUGUGUCAAUCUAUGGAGUUGGAAUGGGAUGCUUUUUUGUCUCUGGUCUUUGAGGCUUUAUAUUGCUCCUAAGGGGCAACGUGCCCUGCUAAUUUGGAACUUUCUUUGAUGAUUCUUUAUUCAGAAUAGCAUAUAUUGACCCGACAUCUUGUCAUGGUAUCUCCGGAGGGAAACUUCACUACAUACAAUGUCCAGCUUCAUUCAGAAUCAAUAUUCUUCAUAAUGAAGUUACAUAUGUAAAUUAGUCAUGCAAAAAAGAAAAAAGAAAAAAGAAAAAAGAAAAGAUCAUUCUGAUUUAAUAGGGCCCUUGGAAAUGGACGUUGACGGCUCUGAUUGAAUCUGAUGUCAAUGAGAGCAAUGCUGAUUUUAGAGGACUGGGAAAAUAAUUUUAACUAUAUACUAUUUUAUUGUUUGUUUUGAUAAUCAAUAAUUUAUUUGCACGUGACUAGGUGGUAAGAAAUGUCCAUGUCAGGAUUUAGGAAUAUGAGCAAGAAUUUGGGUUUGGGGGGCAGGGUAGGUAAUAACAUGGCUUUCCUUUACCGUACCGUGUACGGUGUGGCUUGAUUGUAGGAGUGAUUAUCUCAGCAUUUAGAGAGGAGUGGUUCGAGCGUUAGUCUCAAUAAGGCUUAUAUGAUACACAUGGUAUUAUCUAUUGUCGUUAUGUGGCAUGAGGUUGAUGAGGUUACACCGGAUUUUUUUUUUUUUUUU